ACGGGAGGCAGCAGUGGGGAAUAUUGCACAAUGGGGGAAACCCUGAUGCAGCGACGCCGCGUGAGUGAAGAAGUACUUCGGUAUGUAAAGCUCUAUCAGCAGGGAAGAAAGUGACGGUACCUGAGUAAGAAGCACCGGCUAAAUACGUGCCAGCAGCCGCGGUAAUACGUAUGGUGCAAGCGUUAUCCGGAUUUACUGGGUGUAAAGGGAGCGUAGACGGAGAAGCAAGUCUGGAGUGAAAGCCCGGGGCUCAACCCCGGGACUGCUUUGGAAACUGUUACUCUUGAGUGCCGGAGAGGUAAGCGGAAUUCCUAGUGUAGCGGUGAAAUGCGUAGAUAUUAGGAGGAACACCAGUGGCGAAGGCGGCUUACUGGACAGUAACUGACGUUGAGGCUCGAAAGCGUGGGGAGCAAACAGGAUUAGAUACCCUGGUA
rnacentral:rRNA from 1 species